CUACGGGAGGCUCCAGUGAAGAAUAUUGCACAAUGGGGGGAACCCUGAUGCAGCAACGCCGCGUGGAGGAUGACGCAUUUCGGUGUGUAAACUCCUUUUAUAUGUCAAGAAAAUGACGGUAGCAUAUGAAUAAGCACCGGCUAACUCCGUGCCAGCAGCCGCGGUAAUACGGAGGGUGCAAGCGUUACUCGGAAUCACUGGGCGUAAAGGACGCGUAGGCGAGUUGGAAAGUCAGGUGUGAAAUCCUACAGCUUAACUGUAGAACUGCACUUGAAACUUCUAAUCUAGAGUAUGGGAGGGGGAGAUGGAAUUAGUGGUGUAGGGGUAAAAUCCGUAGAUAUCACUAGGAAUACCUAAAGCGAAGGCGAUCUCCUGGAACAUUACUGACGCUAAGGCGUGAAAGCGUGGGGAGCAAACAGGAUUAGAUACCCCCGUAGUC
rnacentral:rRNA from 1 species